rnacentral:rRNA from 1 species
UUAGUGGCGGACGGGUGAGUAACGCGUUGGUACCUGCCUCGAAGUGGGGAAUAACUGGCCGAAAGGUCGGCUAAUACCGCAUGUGAUCGCAAGAUCAAAGCCUUCGGGCGCUUCGAGAGGGGCCUGCGUCUGAUUAGCUAGUUGGUAGGGUAAUGGCCUACCAAGGCGACGAUCAGUAGGUGGUUCGAGAGGAUGACCACCCACACUGGGACUGAGAUACGGCCCAG